rnacentral:tRNA from 1 species
GGGGAUAUACCUCAGUUGGUGGAGUGCUUGUCUCACACAAGGCCUUGGGUUCAAUUCCCAGCACCCCCC